UCGUUAACGAACGAGACCUUAACCUGCUAAAUAGUGGCUACCAUGUUUGGUUCCAAUCAAAAGGCAUCUUUCUUUAUGGGAGGUGUCUUUGGUUCCAAAAGACUUGGUAAUUUGUCACUUCUUAGAGGGACUAUUGACGUCUAGUCAAUGGAAGUUUGAGGCAAUAACAGGUCUGUGAUGCCCUUAGAUGUUCUGGGCCGCACGCGCGCUACACUGAUCAAGUCAACGAGUUUACAACCUUGGCCGGAAGGUCUGGGUAAUCUUUUGAAACUUGAUCGUGCUGGGGAUAGUCCAUUGCAAUUAUUGGACUUCAACGAGGAAUUCCUAGUAAGCGUGAGUCAUCAGCUCGCGUUGAUUACGUCCCUGCCCUUUGUACACACCGCCCGUCGCUAAUACCGAUUGAAUGGAU
rnacentral:rRNA from 1 species